rnacentral:rRNA from 1 species
AGUGAACGCUGGCGGUAGGCCUAACACAUGCAAGUCGAACGGCAGCACAGUAAGAGCUUGCUCUUACGGGUGGCGAGUGGCGGACGGGUGAGGAAUACAUCGGAAUCUACUUUUUCGUGGGGGAUAACGUAGGGAAACUUACGCUAAUACCGCAUACGACCUACGGGUGAAAGCAGGGGAUCUUCGGACCUUGCGCGAUUGAAUGAGCCGAUGUCGGAUUAGCCAGUUGGCGGGGUAAAGGCCCACCAAGGCGACGAUCCGUAGCUGGUCUGAGAGGAUGAUCAGCCACACUGGAACUGAGACACGGUCCAGACUCCUACGGGAGGCAGCAGUGGGGAAUAUUGGACAAUGGGCGCAAGCCUGAUCCAGCCAUACCGCGUGGGUGAAGAAGGCCUUCGGGUUGUAAAGCCCUUUUGUUGGGAAAGAAAAGCAGCAGGUUAAUACCCCGCUGUUCUGACGUUACCCAAAGAAUAAGCACCGGCUAACUUCGUG